rnacentral:rRNA from 1 species
GAUGAACGCUGGCGGCGUGCCUAAUACAUGCAAGUCGAGCGAACGGACGAGAAGCUUGCUUCUCUGAUGUUAGCGGCGGACGGGUGAGUAACACGUGGAUAACCUACCUAUAAGACUGGGAUAACUUCGGGAAACCGGAGCUAAUACCGGAUAAUAUUUUGAACCGCAUGGUUCAAAAGUGAAAGACGGUCUUGCUGUCACUUAUACAUGGAUCCGCGCUGCAUUAGCUAGUUGGUAAGGUAACGGCUUACCAAGGCAACGAUGCAUAGCCGACCUGAGAGGGUGAUCGGCCACACUGGAACUGAGACACGGUCCAGACUCCUACGGGAGGCAGCAGUAGGGAAUCUUCCGCAAUGGGCGAAAGCCUGACGGAGCAACGCCGCGUGAGUGAUGAAGGUCUUCGGAUCGUAAAACUCUGUUAUUAGGGAAGAACAUAUGUGUAAGUAACUGUGCACAUCUUGACGGUACCUAAUCAGAAAGCCACGGCUAACUACGUG